UAGAAACACCGGUUCACUUACGAUCACCGAAGUUAGGCAACGUCGAGCCUGGUCAGUACCUAGAUGGUUGACCACUUGGGAAUACAAGGUGUUGUAA